AGAGUUUGAUCAUGGCUCAGAGCGAACGUUAGCGGCGGGCGUAACACAUGCAAGUCGAACGAGAACGCUCCCUUCGGGGAGUUAGUAAAGUGGCGCACGGGUGAGUAACACGUGGGUAAUCUACCCUUUGGUGGGGGACAACAGCUCGAAAGGGCUGCUAAUACCUCAUGAGUCGGUGACGUCCUCGGAUGUUACCGGGAAAGGUGGCCUCUCCAUGGAAGCUAUCGCCGAAGGAUGAGCCCGCGGCCCAUCAGCUAGAUGGUGAGGUAACGGCUCACCAUGGCUAAGACGGGUAGCUGGUCUGAGAGGAUGAUCAGCCACACUGGGACUGAGACACGGCCCAGACUCCUACGGGAGGCAGCAGUGGGGAAUAUUGGACAAUGGGCGAAAGCCUGAUCCAGCCACGCCGCGUGUGUGAUGAAGGCCUUCGGGUCGUAAAGCACUGUGGAGGGGGAUGAACAAUCGGAGGGAACAAUACCCCUCCGGACUGACAUUACCCCUUUAGCAAGCACCGGCUAACUCCGUGCCAGCAGCCGCGGUAAUACGGAGGGUGCAAACGUUGCUCGGAAUCAUUGGGCGUAAAGCGCGUGUAGGCGGCGCGUUAAGUCGAGUGUGAAAGCCCUGGGCUUAACCCAGGAAGUGCGCUCGAUACUGGCGUGCUAGAGUACGGGAGAGGGUAGCGGAAUUCCCGGUGUAGAGGUGAAAUUCGUAGAUAUCGGGAGGAACACCAGUGGCGAAGGCGGCUACCUGGACCGAUACUGACGCUGAGACGCGAAAGCGUGGGUAGCAAACAGGAUUAGAUACCCUGGUAGUCCACGCCGUAAACGAUGAGUGCUAGGUGUCGCGGGUAUUGACCCCUGCGGUGCCGUAGUUAACGCAUUAAGCACUCCGCCUGGGGAGUACGGCCGCAAGGCUAAAACUCAAAGGAAUUGACGGGGGCCCGCACAAGCGGUGG
rnacentral:rRNA from 1 species